rnacentral:tRNA from 1 species
AAGGAUUUAAGUUAAAAACAAACUAGUAGCCUUCAAAGCUAAAAACAGAAUAAGGUUUCUAAACCUU